rnacentral:rRNA from 1 species
ACUCCUACGGGAGGCAGCAGUGGGGAAUAUUGCACAAUGGGCGCAAGCCUGAUGCAGCAACGCCGCGUGCGGGAUGACGGCCUUCGGGUUGUAAACCGCUUUCAGCAGGGACGAAGCUUUUUGUGACGGUACCUGCAGAAGAAGCACCGGCUAACUACGUGCCAGCAGCCGCGGUGAUACGUAGGGUGCGAGCGUUGUCCGGAUUUAUUGGGCGUAAAGGGCUCGUAGGCGGUUGAUCGCGUCGGAAGUGGAAACUUGAUGCUUAACGUUGAGCGUGCUUUCSAUACGGGUUGACUUGAGGAAGGUAGGGGAGAAUGGAAUUCCUGGUGGAGCGGGGAAUGCGCAGAUAUCAGGAGGAACACCAGUGGCGAAGGCGGUUCUCUGGACCUUUCCUGACGCUGAGGAGCGAAAGCGUGGGGAGCGAACAGGCUUAGAUACCCUGGUAGUCCACGCUGUAAACGGUGGGUACUAGGUGUGGGGUCCAUUCCACGGAUUCUGUGCCGUAGCUAACGCAUUAAGUACCCCGCCUGGGGAGUACGGCCGCAAGGCUAAAACUCAAAUGAAUUGACG